GUGCAGGCACUCGAGUUGGGACUUACAAGACAGCCUUCCUAUUUCUCAGGAAAAUCAGCGCGGGUUUGGGGGAUGCGAAGGGACUCCGGGAGGAGCGGGGCCGAGGGCCGAGAGUGACCCUCGGCGAAAGCGCCCCAGAGCGAUCGUCCGGGUCCGACUCUUCCUCCCUUUUCCCGCAGCAGAUUCCGGUGGGAUCAUGGACAAGAGCGUCAGCUGUGGUUUGGGAGGCCGGAUGGGGCGGGAGAGGCGGGAAGGGACCUGACAGUGGGCCCGCGAUGCCGGGUCCCUUCCUGUGGGUGUCCGCACGUCGCAUGGCCGUCUCGCCGCCGAUGCGGGGCUGAAAGCGCCCCCGCGCCCCGGGUUUUGACCCCGACCCUUCGCAGCGCAGCGCCGGGCCGGGCCGGGAGCGCGCGGUCCCGGCGCGGAGCAAGGACUGCAAUCCCGCUCUGCGCCACACGAGGGCUCCGCCAGGCACCUGCCGGUCACCCGGGCGCUGUCUGCACCGAGCUCUCUUUUCUGCGAUGCUUUGAGUCUCCGAACAAAUCCUAACCGGAGGAGCUGGGCUCCCGGGACGCACAUUUCUGCACUGUUCCUCUGCCGCCUUGAGGUUACUUGGCCGCACUCAGGUCCUUGGCCCGGCGCUUCUUAAACUACCGCGUACACGCGGAUUGCCCUGCCCCGGUUAAAAUGCAGAUCCGGACGCAGCGGGUCUGGGCUGGGGCCUGGGACACGCAUUCCCAGCCAGCCGGGUGAUACCGAAGUUCAACCAGGUUUGGAGUCCAACACUGUGGACAAAGGGGUUGCAAACCCAGGAGGGGCUGUGCCCGGACUCGCAGGAGCGCGAGUGGCCGUCGCCCGGGCAGCCGUGGGCAGGGCCUGGGCGCCCCACCGAGCCCCCGCCAGCCACAUGGGUCCCUUCCACCCACCCCACGGCUGACCUUCACCUUUCCGAAAUAUCUUAGGGAGUCGACCCACAGCGACGUUACGUCCCGGCCCCUGCGUGCCCACUGCACUGGCAGAAUGAUGAGUCCCAUCCGAGGGGGCUGAGGCUCAGGACGAGGAGAAGGCGCUAACUUGUGUAAUUAGAACUUGGGACGGGGCCGGAGGCGCGUGGUGCCCAGGGAGAGUUAUCUAGGGAUCUUCGUACCACAGCGAGGAGGGGCUUGGGGAUGUUUGGUUGUUGGGGAGUGGGGUGCAGUGCAUGCAAAGUAGUUGAUUACGCAAGAGAAGGAAAGGACGGUAUGCAGGAAGUGUUGGGAGACAGUUCCCCACGGACCCUUCACAUUUCCGUAUUUUUGUGACAGUUUUACCCAGAUGAUCUUUCUGGGGAUGUUUGCCUAGCAGGCGACCUUGGAAGGAACUUCUAGGCGUGUCUCUGCUCGCAGGACAGAAAGGUACCUCCUUCCACAACAGACACUGGCGCUUUGCCAGUGGUCCCUUUAACAGACUGCGGUCUCCUAAGCGCGGGGUUCCUCAGCUGUGACUCGGAUCUGUGUACACACCUCCCACCUGCCGGUCGUAGGGAGGGGAACAGGGCCACCGCCUCCGUCCUGAAGCUCGCUCCCCUUCCGUGCUGUGAGGAUCCGUGCAAUGGUCGCAGCCCGGUUGGCUCACACUCGGAGUGGAACUUGGGACUCUUCAGUUCUUGCCAGCAGGGUUUCUGGGGCGGAAGGAGAGAACUGAGCCCAGGAUCCUGGGAGGCAUUGACCUUGGGCUAGGAAUGGUAGGAUGGUGAUUUAAAGAUCUUCUGUUUAUCUUCGAUUUUCAUCCCUUCAGUUACGAUGUGCCUGGGAGAGGUUUUGUUUGUGUUUCUCCUACUUGAACUUUGCUGAGCCUUUUGCAUCUGUGGGGUGAUAGGCUUGAUCAAAUUUAGAAAAAUUUUAGUUGCUAGUGCUUGAAGUAAACAAUUAUGGAGACCAUCUGUGUGUGAAGUUACCUACUCUACAUGUCUAAUAUAACAGGUGACGUCAGUGCUUCUGAGUUUUGCCUUCUCAAUCAAGUUUUGCAGUUCCAGGGAGUGUUCAUGACAUUUUUCAAUUUUUAAAAGUUUAUAAAUUUGUAAUAUGAUGUGAUUUCUUUUCUCAUUUUAAAGAAACACUCACUUCUAUAACUAGUUUUCAGUUCCUAAUUGUGAGUUCUUUUUCUUAAAGAACUACCAAGUCUACCAAGCGGUGUAAGCUUCAGGCUCCACAAAAUCUGCAUCUACCCCAGGCCCAAGCCACAUGGGGUCAUACGACUUGGGAUGAAAGUCUUGCCCAAGGAAAAGGGAGAGAUCCCAACUCUUAGGGCAGAGAAGCUGAGCCAGUCCCAGUACCUGGAAGGAAGCUCCCCCACCGCCAUCCCAAGGAAAAGGGAGAGUACGUUUGUUUCUCUCUGGCUUGGAUGGUCCCUGGUAUCUAUUUCAACUGAGGGUGGGUCUAUUUCCUCCGUGAUAAAGGCUCACUUACAUCAGGCAGGGGAGGGACCAUGAGCCAUCCCAGUACCUGAACUGUGACACAUUAGCAUUUGUGUGUACACAGGGUCUGCCACUGGUCUGGGGACAUCUUGCAGGAUAAGGGUCUCACAGGAAUCUGAGCCAUGGAAUGCCUGUCGCCAGAUAUCCAGCUCAGUGUCUGGUCCAUGCAGAUAGAAGUUGUCAAUCAGCAUUGCAAUGGGAAAAGGUCUUUUGCCACAAUACUUACCUCAGUCACCUAGAAAAAUACCCCACAUCUCAGAAUUACAAACUUACUCUUGGGGAUCUUGAAAAUUUCUAGGAGUUUGACACUACUUAUUAAAAUACAGAUUCCUUGGGAGAAAAGUUACAAUUGAUUGUAUAUUCACAAUUUUUACAAGAUGAAUAUGUAAGUGCUUCCCACUGUGUGAUAUUUACCAUACAAGUUCCCCCACCUCUCUCCAGCGAGAGAGCCAGGGCCAGGCUGCAGGUUGCAUGUGGUUGGGGAUUUGGGUGGGUGCUGGUUGUACAGGUUCGGUCUUAGGUUGAGAUCCCAAAGGCAGCUUUCCUCCUCUGCUGCUUACCUAGUUCCAAACACAGAAGAUACUGGGACAUAAGCGUUGGGUCACCGUUAGGACAUUUAGAGGAAGACCCAUAGAAGCAGCUUUGAAUCACUAAAAAUAUCAAUGUGGACAAGAUGGAGCUACAGUUAGGAAUGGCUGGGUUUCUUCCUCAGCCUUUCAGGCAGCUGUUUGGUUUCUGCUGCAUGACUGAUGAGUGCUCAUAACAUCUGAGUUGCCACAGUGAGUGUUUUCUGUGGCAGUAGGGGAAGGGACCACCAGAAUUAUUCUGCUGUACGUUAGGCCACAGUCUCUGGGUUUACUGAGGCAGUAUUUCCUACACAUGUUCCCGUGCUUUUAAAUUAUUUAUUUUUUAUUAUUCAGGUAGAUAUUUUUGUACCCCCAGAAGUUCCAUCAGAAGCUGUUUUCCUGGCUUUUCUUCUUUUCCCCCACUGUCCUGGCAUGGAUCCGGGGCAGCAGGGCCAGGCAGUGGCAUAGGUAAUAAGGGGUCCAGAGAGAGGGAAGCUCCCCUUUGUCAUUGUGUGGUCUCCCAUGUCUGUAAAGACAGUGCUAAUUUCCAUCCGUGUUGGGUUAGGAAGCAACAACUGUAAAAAUUCACUUAUAAUAAGCACCCCAAGGAUUAAAUGAAAGAUGUAGUAGUAGUAAUAAGACCCUCUCAAGUUGGAAUUUUCUCAGUAGCCACUAUUUUUUCCUUCUGAACAAUACACAAAUGUAUACUUUAAAAAAAUCUUUACUAAUAUAUUUUAUAUGUGAGUUGUUUGCAGUUACUGUGGAGAAGUAGAGGCUCUUAGUACAAUUCUUGUCACUCAGACAAUUUCAAAUGAUUCCUCAGCUGUUGUCCCUGGGCUACCUAUUAAUUCUAAGUCUCCCAGCUUCUUUUCUGGGUGUACCCAGCCAUCCCCUACACCUCAUCCGAAGUAGAAUAAUGGGAAGCUCUCUGCUUAAAACCCUCAGAGAGCUUCCUAAUGGAUACCUCUGGGUGAGAGCCUAGUCUAGUAACAGGAGAAAGGACCCCGUCUGUUGCUCCUCUGGGUCCUGCUCAUGCUUCAGGCUGGCUCAGUAAGCCCCUCUGAUCCACACCUUCUACAGACCUGUAGCUCCCACGCAGCCAAGCUACUGCCUGAUUCAUGUUUCUGUACAUAUUGCUCUAUUCCUGGAAUAUAUAUCUCUUCUGGGAUCUGCCUGACACACUCUACUUUUUUGGCUCUAAUAUUUAGAUGUUCACUUGAGAAUAAAGAACAAUAUUGUACAGUACUUCGUAUGCUCAGAAUUCAUUUAAACAGUAGCACAUUUUAUUUUAAUCCUUUGUAAAAAGAAAGAAAACAUUUCAAAUAGAGCUGGUAUCACCCAUAUACUCCUUUCCGAUCUUAUCCCCCUGCCUGAGAGAACCACUGCCAUGAGUUUAUAUUUAUUUUAUACUUUUAAUGUUUUAAAUAUUUUUAUUAUGCAUAUAUUCAUAGCAUUGUAUAACAUUUAUUUGCAAGUUUAAAAAUCUGAUGAGCAUGCACCAUGUAUUUGUAACUUUGCAGCUUGUUUCUUUGUUGUAGGCAUACUCUUGGUAUAAUAUAGUACUUUAUUAUACAAAUAAAUAACUCAUC
rnacentral:lncRNA from 1 species